UACGUAGUUGGCAAGCGUUAUCCGGAUUUAUUGGGCGUAAAGGGAACGCAGGCGGUCUUUUAAGUCUGAUGUGAAAGCCUUCGGCUUAACCGGAGUAGUGCAUUGGAAACUGGGAGACUUGAGUGCAGAAGAGGAGAGUGGAACUCCAUGUGUAGCGGUGAAAUGCGUAGAUAUAUGGAAGAACACCAGUGGCGAAAGCGGCUCUCUGGUCUGUAGCUGACGCUGAGGUUCGAAAGCGUGGGUAGCAAACAGG
rnacentral:rRNA from 1 species